CAGACAGCACAGACACCAGCAGCACGGGGAUCCGGCCCAACCUGAGACACAAACACCAUCACACACACAUCACAACAUCUGCAACACACCAGUGUGUCUCUGACCUACCAGUCUGCCAUCGCUCCCAUCAGCAGUGUUGUCACAUCCUCAAAUGAGCCAGAGAGCUUCUUUAGCAUUUGAAUGAAGCUCUUCAACGCACUCCGAAAAGACACUAGACUAUCGGUGUGAUAAAGGUCACACACUCACAGCAGGUCAUCAGGACAUCAGGCAUCCGUCUAUUCAGCCAAAGACUCCAAGAAAAACAUCCCAACAGGAACAGUGUCCUGGAACGCACAGCAUUAUCUCAGACUCACAGAUAAACUAAUGAAUUUGGAGGGAAGCUUGUGCUUGUUGGGGCUUGUUUCACCAGGGGAUAAAAUAAAAAUAUGAUUGUGAAUUUUUAUCUCACAA